rnacentral:rRNA from 1 species
UUAAGUCUGAUGUGAAAGCCCACGGCUCAACCGUGGAGGGUCAUUGGAAACUGGGAGACUUGAGUGCAGAAGAGGAAAGUGGAAUUCCAUGUGUAGCGGUGAAAUGCGUAGAGAUAUGGAGGAACACCAGUGGCGAAGGCGACUUUCUGGUCUGUAACUGACACUGAGGCGCGAAAGCGUGGGGAGCAAACAGGAUUAGAUACCCUGGUAGUC